CACCCAACUGCACUGACGAGUCUAAACUUUUAUAAGAUCGACGCUAUGAAAACAUUCGUUACCCUUUUAGACAGUAAAGGAUUCCUGGAGGAAAGGCAACGAGACGACGAAUGUUUCAUUCGAGCCAAGUUAUUCAACACGAUGAUCUUAUAAAAAAUACAGAAAGUUUCUUCUUUAUCGUCACAUCGAUUAAUAAAUUUAUAUAUUUCGUAUCCGGAUCAGAGACAAAAAUUUCAAAGUAAUAAUGCAUAAUCACUGAAUCAAGUUUGAAAGUAACGCGUCCCAUCAAUUGAUAUUCUCAUAAACCAAAAUCCACUCGGAUGAUCAUCAUUCCAGUGGCAAAUUCACGCGUCGAAAGUACGUCGUUAUGUGGAUAACGUUAUUCGGAACAAGGGCAGGGAGGAGGAGAGGAGCAAGUCGAUCGACUGAAGUUUCAACCGCGCGUAAUGAGAUUAUUCUGUUCUGCCGGGAUGUCAACGCACGCCUAGCUACCGUUGGGCUGACGUGAAACCUGCGCUGAACUUCCGGUUGAAACUUUUACCGGUUAAUAUUCAGUAAAAGGGGGAAGAAAGAGAGAGAACGAAAAGAGUUAUGCGCGACAAUAUGACGCGUGAUAAAAAUAUUAACGAAAACGGGAAACAAUUCCUUCCUCUAUAAUUUUAUUUCAUUUUUUUCACCAUUUUGUCCUUUUUGCUCCUCUCGCAAAAUAAUUUUCCGAUUAAACAUUUUUAAACGUUUUAAACUAUCAUAAUAUAUAAAUUUAUUUAUAUUAUUUUCUUCCUUUGUUUAUUUCGUUGUGUUUCGUUAGUGUUUCGCGUUCUUAAAUCUUAACUCUAUUCACUUUAUCACUUUUGUUCAAUCUAGUGAUACGUAUUGUUGUUUUAAUUAGAAUGAGACAUCUAAAAAAUCGUAGAAAUUUUUUUAAAAGAAAUUCUUUGAAACUAUAUCUUUUUCCUUUUUUUCUUUUAUCUAAUGUAUAUGUUCAAUAAAAGUCUAUAUAUGCAUGUAAAUAUAUCACAUGCCUAUGCAAAAAAUGUGAAAAAUUUGUAAAAAAAACAAUAUUAUCUAAAUUGUAGUAAAAGAUAAAAAUAAUAUGAAUUACUAUUGAUAUUAAUUGUGUAAAGACAUACAUAUAUAGAAUUAUAUAAUGCCGAAUUAUAAUAGGUUAGUAAAAUAAAAAAAAAAAGAAGUUUUAUUGCGAAA